UGACACCAAUUCAUCUAUAUGAGGCAUCAUUCACUCUUCCAGUUGAAACAGAAAGGAGAGACCAUUCUGCUUAUCAGAGAGGGCUUCAGUGAGUUAAUUUCAGUUAUCAGUUAAUCUCAGAAAUCAGAGCUUUAAAAUUCUCUAUGGAGGCUCAGUUUGGUAAGAUCAAAGCAGAAAUAAAAGAAAUUGGAGGCAGGGUCACAAGCCCUGAGAUAAAGGUGGAGAGAAAACUACAACCAUCAGUAAAUCUACAUAAUACAAUGAAGAUGACUGAAAAGAAAGAAAAUGACUUUAUAGAGAAAACUGGGGACUUAGAAAAUCUUGAGAGAAAAAGUAACAUAAGAAUAAGAGGGCUCUGAGAAGAUGUGGGGAAGGAGAUCCAGCAGAAUAUUUAAAGCAGGUUUUCUACUCCUUCCUACAGAUGAAGACAAAAGCAGCAGUCCUGGCAGACAUAGCACACAGAGUUCUCUACAUUCCCCCAGGCUCACAAAGACUGAGAGACAUGAUACUUUGUUGGUACUGAUACUUCUGAUUCCACUCUGGGAGACUAUAAAAUACAAGUGUUUUGAAACUUGUCCAGGCUACAUUAAUAAAAAGGAAGGAACUGAGUGAAAUUACAGCAUCUCUCAGAGAACAAAUAUAAGAUACACAUGGGCUUUUCCUUUUAAGCUUAUCUCAUGCAUCAAGAACAGGAGAACAUCAUAAAGGAGAAAAAGGAAGACUAAAAUCCUUGAAAAAUUAAACUUAAUGGAAAACAUACUGAAAUCUCAGCUCAAGCCUCACCCAGACAGCAAAAGGCAAACUAUAAUAUUGAAUGGCAAACAGUUAAGGCCAGGAGAAAGAAAACAGCAAAGUACAAGGAUAAGGAGACUUGGAGAAGUCACAGAACUAGGGGUAUUUGAAGGGAUUUGACUGGGACUGAAUAAUAGUAGGAGGAAAUGAAAAUGGAGAGGGGAAUAUCACAAGGACAAAAAGAUUAAAAGAGUAAUGCUGGGAACCAAAAUAAUUAGGAAAAUGGAAGUAAAGAGAAGCUAAGGCUAAAAACAAAUGAUAGGGGGUGGGAAAGAGGUAUAAAUACAGUAUAAUAUGAGAAGAGACUGGGGGAGACUUAAAAUAUGUCUUUGCACAACUUCCACCAGAAAACAGUAUCUGACUAAUAAUAUAGUGCCAGGAUUCCCCUGGAUGAGAGUUUGUACUCUCCCAGGAAGGUGUUUAUUACACAGGUGUGGAGAGGUUAAAGGUACCAUUCCAUCUGAGGCUUAGAGUGAAUCUCCACAUUUUAGAAAAAGGGUAGGGUAUAAAAAUAAGGAUCAGUUGGGGAUCUAAGUGGGAGGGGUAAAAUGUAUAAAUAUAAGGAUUGUGUUGGGAGUCAAAUGUGAGGGAAAUUGGACUGGGUAAAUUAAUGAGCAUGGUAGGGCAGUAAAUAAAGUUAAUGUUAAGCCUAGAAUGUAUAGAAGACUACACAGGGACCAAAAGAGUACUGCAGGUAUAUAAAAGUAGAGCAAGCAUAAUCUAGAUGUGCUUUAUUUUUUUAUAUUGUAAGAAGGUGAAGGCAGUUCCUACUAAUAUUUAUUUAUUUAUUGCUGGUGAUAACUAAACAGCUUACAAGAAUGCUGGCAAAGCUUCAGAUGUAGUAACUUCAGCAUCAGCUAAUUACUGUGUAUUACUGCUGGACAUGGAGCUUGUACAGACCUACAUGCAAAAUUUAAAUGACUAAAUUCUAAUAUCAGUGCCUUUUAUGGAAGAAUGUAAACUCGUGACUGGGACCACCUGAAAUAUGUCAAUACAAUUAAUCUCAUUUCUGGCUUUGGUAUCAAGUAUACCUCAUGCCCAACUACUCUAAAUUGAUUGUAAAUAAGUUCCUCUUUCAAGGUGAUUGCCUCUCCCUUGUUAUCCCAUUCCUCUCCAAUCUAAGUGUCUGUGCCAGAUGGAAAAUAUUUUGGGAUCUGCCCUGUUAUAACACUAAUCUAUACAGUGCCUUACAAUUCAUGGUCUAAGGUGCUCAAUUCAAGUAAUCAAGCCCUACUGCAAUUAAUCAAGUAGUAUACCUUCAGUUUAGGGUGUUGGGCUCAAGCAAUCAAGCCAUACUAUAGUUAAGCAAAUUAUAAAGCUGGAGAGUGAUCAAGGGUUUCACCCACAACAACCAGAGAUGGAUCCAAAAGGUUAACAUUUAGAACACAACUAAAAGACAAUGACCCUCUACCCUGUCAGCUUUGUCUGGACCCUGAUCUUCAACCCAUCAAGAAAAUAUGCUUUGAAGAAUGAGUAUAAGAGAAGAAUGAAGCUGUCAGAAAGUGCACUCAUCCCAAAAGAGAAACAUCACGCUGUCUCAUCAUAAUCUGCUCCCAGCUAACCACACUUGGCAACGGAUCCACACCUGGUGAAAAGUUGCAAAGAUCAGGACCGCUUCCUUACCCGUGUUGUGUAGAUCUUUACUUUGUGUGGGAGGAAGCAAAAGGAUAUAAAGGACGCCUUCCCCUACCGUGGUAGGAUUGAAAGCCUGUCUUCUUGGGAACACAAUCACUACCAUGAAUUCUUCCAGAAGAAUACAUUCUCUCCGUGCUCACAGGCCAAAGGCGCCUGCAAAUAUGAGUGAGAACUGGCACAGUUCCUGCAGAUGCAAACAGGACCGCGGAGAUGAACUAUCUACAGUCCAUACACUUUACACUGUGAUCAUCAUGGUCAUCCUAAUGGUGAUAUGGGGGGCCUGGGCAAGAAAAGAUGCCUAUUUAUAGCUGCAAGCUACCUUUUGUGUCAGGAGUUCAGAAUUCAGAGAGAUACUCAUGACAAUAAAAAAUACCCAGGAAGAUACAAAAGCCCAGGGCUUUGUGAAUCACAGCUCAUCUUGCACAUAAAAUGGAACUGCUUCUGUCAGUGGAUUUGGCUAAGUCAAAUUCUGUGGACAAAAUC